rnacentral:misc_RNA from 1 species
GAAACGCGAUAGUUAAUGUGAAUUGCAGAAUUCAGUGAAUCAUCGAGUCCUUGAACGCACAUCGCGCCCAUAGGUAUUCCUUUGGGCAUGUCUGUUUGAGCGUCAUUACAACCCUCAGCUAACCGCUGGUUUUGAACCUGAACGGGUGACACCGCGCCGGUUUUAAAGUUGUAAGCUCUGCUGGCCGCUCUGCCCAACCAGAACAUAGUAAGCACUACUUGUCCGGGUGAAGCUGAACGGUACGGCCUGAACAAAACCUACCCACUCUCAAGGUUUGACCUCAGAUCAGACAAGGAUACCCGCUGAACUUAAGC